rnacentral:rRNA from 1 species
UACGGAGGGAGCUAGCGUUAUUCGGAAUUACUGGGCGUAAAGCGUACGUAGGCGGCUUUGUAAGUAAGAGGUGAAAGCCCGGAGCUCAACUCCGGAACUGCCUUUUAGACUGCAUCGCUUGAAUCCAGGAGAGGUGAGUGGAAUUCCGAGUGUAGAGGUGAAAUUCGUAGAUAUUCGGAAGAACACCAGUGGCGAAGGCGGCUGACUGGACAUGUAUUGACGCUGAGGUGCGAAAGCGUGGGGAGCAAACAGG